GUACCAGGCACACCCACAACCCUUGUCCUGGACCUGAGUAUAAAUGACUAUGAUUUUGGCAUCUUCUCCCAUAAGGAAUUUGACACUCAGUUGAACAGUAACACCCUUAUUGGAUGCUUUCAAGCCUAUGGAUCAAUGCACUUUUGAAUCUGGACUUUGCCCCUGUCUUUUAUGAGGAAGCCUUGGUAGUAUUUGUUCAGAGUUCCGCAAUAGAAACCCCAGGCCUGGAAUAUGAACGGUGUCUGGAGAAGAGAGAAAUAGAUUUAUCCAUAAAUAACACAGAAACUACAUUGCCGGACACAACAGGUGUGUGACCCAGGGGUUCCAGGAUGUACAGGAGUGACAGUCCCUAUGGCUUGGACUCUAGCAGUUACGCAGGAUCUGUCCAGUCCGUCCAGUCCAAUGGCUAUUCAGUGGAUGAUCGGUUAUCACAGAUAUCAAAUCUGUCCAGACCAAGUGCCAAGUCAAUAUACAUGCAGAGGAAGGAGUAUGCGGACUCUAUCACCAAGAUGAUGAACAAAUUCCAGUACAGAGUAGAGCAUUUGUUCACCUGUGACCUGGAUGGUAGGGAGGUGCGUGAUGUGAAUGACUGUGUUGAGAGGCUAAAGCUGCUGGAUGGGAUGGGCCGGGUGUGGGGGCAGGACAUGGUCCUGGAGGUGCGGGAUGGGAACCUGCUGCUAACAGACAUCGAGACUAAGGAGGAGCUGGAGUCCCUGCCUCUGAGCAGCAUCGUGGAGCUGAAAGCUGUGAUGGACAGCUGUGUGUACAACUCCCUGCUGACCGCGACCGUCAAGGACCGCAGCAGGAGGACCACCAGUGUCUUCAUGUUCCAGUGUGAGGACCUCAGGGCCGAUUUCAUAAAACGGGACCUAGAGAGAGUGCUCCCUCACCAGAGAGAUGACGUUAGCAAUCACAGCGACAACAGCAGGAGCAAUCAGGAAGUUAUGGCUGGCCAUCAAAUUGUUAGGAAUCUUCAGAACGCUGUCCCACCACCUGAGCAGAGAGAAUGGACUCCUCCAGAAGAUCCCUCAGCUCAAUGGAGCGCUCCGGACUAUGAUGAAGAUCCUACACCUGUACCUACGCCUACACCGCCCAUGCCCAGAGAAGAGCCCCUCCCUCCCAGGAAGGAAACCCCAGUUCAGCACCUCUUUACGGAGGAGGAGCCUGAGCCAGCCCCUGUCUCUCCUCCACGACCAUACACAGAGACUGAUAGGAAUGUGGACAUCGUGAAUCAUAUUUUCAAUGACAUUGAGAUCUUUAUGGGCCAAGUCGCUGCUGCAGCAGCCAAAGCCGAGAAGAAAAAAAAGAAAAAGAACAAGAACAAGGAUAAAGGCAUUAAAGGCAUGCCACCAGCAGAGGAAUUUGAAACCUGUCUCCAGAAAAUCAAAUGCGGGUUCAACCUUCUGGGGGAGCUCAAUGGAAAGAUUAGUAAUCCCAGUGCUCCGGAAUUCGUCCACUGCCUCUUCUCCACCCUGGCAUUUGUGGUGUCCCAUAGCCCUGAGGAGCUGCCCCCCACCAUCGUGGUGCCCCUGCUGAAGCCUGAGUGUAUCCGUCUGCUGAGUGGGGAGGCCACUCCUGAGGAGGACCAGCUGUGGCAGUCGCUAGGAGACGCCUGGAACGUCCCCAGUACAAAAUGGCCAGAGGAUGAUGAGGACAUCCCAACCUACACUCUAGAGUUCCAUGAUGGUUGGCAGCCCCUGGAGUUGACCCACUCUCUCCCAGGGAGAGAGCCUGAGAGAAGGGAGCAGAGUCAGAAACAGAGUCAGAGUCCGCGCUCCACCCCUGAAAAGAGGUCGGCCCCGUUUAAGCCUCCACCAUCACGUCCAGAUGAGCCAAACCUCAGGAACAUUCGUGUGAUGUAUGACUUCACUGCAAGGAACAACAGAGAGCUGAGCAUCUCCAAGGGAGAGGUGGUUCAGCUACUGGACAUGUCAAAGAAAUGGUGGCAAGUAAGGAACAACAGAGGAGAGGAGGGCUUUGUACCCAACAAUGUACUGGAGUCACAGGACAAGGAGCAAGAAAAGCAGAGCCCUUAUCCCCCCGUCAGGAAACCAGUGGUCCUCCCUCCCUAACCAAGAGGUCCAAGCCUGACCAAGUGAAGGCCUGGCUGGAGUAUAAGGGCUUCAGUAAAAUCACGGUGCGCUGUCUGGGUGUAGUGAGUGGCUCUAUGCUCCUGGGGAUGACGAGAGAAGAGCUGAAGAUAGUGUGUCCUGAGGAGGGGGGGCGGGUCUUCUUCCAGCUCCAGAACAUCAAGUCUGCCAUGGCUCUUGCCAGUGAGGUAAGGCCCAUAGAGCCUUAGGAGGGGAGGAGACGGGAGGACCAGAGAGUCACAAACGAGUCGGGACUUUAAGUUUUAUCCCUUUUCACUGUGCAAUAGAAGAAAUACUGAUUAUAACUACUGAAAACACUGAGUAAGCUGAGUUUAUUUAAAAGUAUGUAGCGUGGAAGUAUCAAAGCUCUAUUUUUUUGUUCCAUUUAAUAAUCCAAUAUUUAAAGAAAGAGUCUCUCUAUAUAUAUAUAUAUAUUCUGUGUCAGCUGUUAACUUCAAUACUAUAUUUAACCAUAUGUAUUCUAUAAAACCAGUGUUGAUGCCACUUGAUUCUAUGAUUGAUCUUGAGGAUUUCAUUAAAGUCACCAUUUCUACAUGCAGAAA